UUAAGCGACUAAGCGUACACGGUGGAUGCCCUGGCAGUCAGAGGCGAUGAAGGGCGUGCUAAUCUGCGAUAAGCGCCGGUAAGGUGAUAUGAACCGUUAUAACCGGCGAUACCCGAAUGGGGAAACCCAGUGUGAUUCGUCACACUAUCAUUAACUGAAUCCAUAGGUUAAUGAGGCGAACCGGGGGAACUGAAACAUCUAAGUACCCCGAGGAAAAGAAAUCAACCGAGAUUCCCCCAGUAGCGGCGAGCGAACGGGGAGGAGCCCAGAGCCUGAAUCAGCAUGUGUGUUAGUGGAAGCGUCUGGAAAGGCGCGCGAUACAGGGUGACAGCCCCGUACACAAAAGCGCAUAUGCUGUGAGCUCGAUGAGUAGGGCGGGACACGUGGUAUCCUGUCUGAAUAUGGGGGGACCAUCCUCCAAGGCUAAAUACUCCUGACUGACCGAUAGUGAACCAGUACCGUGAGGGAAAGGCGAAAAGAACCCCGGCGAGGGGAGUGAAAAAGAACCUGAAACCGUGUACGUACAAGCAGUGGGAGCACCCUUUGGGGUGUGACUGCGUACCUUUUGUAUAAUGGGUCAGCGACUUAUAUUCUGUAGCAAGGUUAACCGUAUAGGGGAGCCGGAGGGAAACCGAGUCUUAAUUGGGCGUUAAGUUGCAGGGUAUAGACCCGAAACCCGGUGAUCUAGCCAUGGGCAGGUUGAAGGUUGGGUAACACUAACUGGAGGACCGAACCGACUAAUGUUGAAAAAUUAGCGGAUGACCUGUGGCUGGGGGUGAAAGGCCAAUCAAACCGGGAGAUAGCUGGUUCUCCCCGAAAGCUAUUUAGGUAGCGCCUCGUGAAUUCAUCUCCGGGGGUAGAGCACUGUUUCGGCUAGGGGGCCAUCCCGGCUUACCAACCCGAUGCAAACUGCGAAUACCGGAGAAUGUUAUCACGGGAGACACACGGCGGGUGCUAACGUCCGUCGUGAAGAGGGAAACAACCCAGACCGCCAGCUAAGGUCCCAAAGUCAUGGUUAAGUGGGAAACGAUGUGGGAAGGCCCAGACAGCCAGGAUGUUGGCUUAGAAGCAGCCAUCAUUUAAAGAAAGCGUAAUAGCUCACUGGUCGAGUCGGCCUGCGCGGAAGAUGUAACGGGGCUAAACCAUGCACCGAAGCUGCGGCAGCGAACGUAUCACUUAAAGCGAUUCAGCGGGUUACGAUUGACGGAGCGAAGCGACGUCAAAGCGUAUACAAAGUCGAGUCGGUUUAAGGAUACGUUCGUUGGGUAGGGGAGCGUUCUGUAAGCCUGUGAAGGUGUGCUGUGAGGCAUGCUGGAGGUAUCAGAAGUGCGAAUGCUGACAUAAGUAACGAUAAAGCGGGUGAAAAGCCCGCUCGCCGGAAGACCAAGGGUUCCUGUCCAACGUUAAUCGGGGCAGGGUGAGUCGACCCCUAAGGCGAGGCCGAAAGGCGUAGUCGAUGGGAAACGGGUUAAUAUUCCCGUACUUGGUGUUACUGCGAAGGGGGGACGGAGAAGGCUAUGUUGGCCGGGCGACGGUUGUCCCGGUUUAAGCGUGUAGGUGUGUGUUCCAGGUAAAUCCGGUUCACUUUAACACUGAGGCGUGAUGACGAGGCACUACGGUGCUGAAGCAACAAAUGCCCUGCUUCCAGGAAAAGCCUCUAAGCAUCAGGUAACAUCAAAUCGUACCCCAAACCGACACAGGUGGUCAGGUAGAGAAUACCAAGGCGCUUGAGAGAACUCGGGUGAAGGAACUAGGCAAAAUGGUGCCGUAACUUCGGGAGAAGGCACGCUGACACGUAGGUGAAGUGAUUUACUCACGGAGCUGAAGUCAGUCGAAGAUACCAGCUGGCUGCAACUGUUUAUUAAAAACACAGCACUGUGCAAACACGAAAGUGGACGUAUACGGUGUGACGCCUGCCCGGUGCCGGAAGGUUAAUUGAUGGGGUCAGCGCAAGCGAAGCUCCUGAUCGAAGCCCCGGUAAACGGCGGCCGUAACUAUAACGGUCCUAAGGUAGCGAAAUUCCUUGUCGGGUAAGUUCCGACCUGCACGAAUGGCGUAAUGAUGGCCAGGCUGUCUCCACCCGAGACUCAGUGAAAUUGAACUCGCUGUGAAGAUGCAGUGUACCCGCGGCAAGACGGAAAGACCCCGUGAACCUUUACUAUAGCUUGACACUGAACAUUGAGCCUUGAUGUGUAGGAUAGGUGGGAGGCUUUGAAG
rnacentral:rRNA from 1 species